GCCCACCUUUGAUCUUCCUGCUGCCUUUGGGUCCAGAUGUGGAACUCUCAGCUACCUCUCCAGCGCUAUGUCUGCCUGCCCACCACCCAGCUUUCCACCCUGACAACCACAGACUAAACCUCUGAAAGUAAAAAGAAGGAUUUGCCCUUGGAGUUCUAGGUCACCAGCUAGGACCUUCCUUUGCACCUGUAGCAUAUCUGUUGAAGAAGCUAGACCUGGCUACUCAAGGAUGGGCAUCCUGCAUACGUGCUUUAGCAGCUGCUGAGCUUCUUAUCCGUCUAAAAGGCACCAGAGAGUACCAUAUGGCCCAGACUGCAAUGAAACAACAAUCAACCCCAGGACGUGGCAGCACCCCAACCCCCCAAAGAUGGUCAACGCCCCAGGCCAGCAGGAAGCAGCCUUGAGACAUCUUCGCCCUUACUUCCCUAACCUGCCAAGCCCAAUUCUCCAACUUUUAUAAUAAACAACAGCCGGGAUUAUAAGAACAAUACACCUGGAUGACCCUGACCCCCGCCCCCUAACCACGGGGCACACACCCGCCAUGCAUUGCACAGGUGCAAUGUGAGGACUCUUGCACAGGUGCAAAACCCCAGUGCGCAUAGGCAACCUCCCCUUUAAAAGGUCCUGCCGCCCAUCCCUCUCUCUCUUCCUUUUGGCUCCUCUUGGGUUGGCUGACUACCCAUCCCCCUCUCCCCCCCUUUUCUGGUAAAUAAACUCCACGUGGG
rnacentral:lncRNA from 1 species